rnacentral:rRNA from 1 species
UGGGGUUGGAAAGUUUCGGCGGUUGGGGAUGGACUCGCGGCUUAUCAGCUUGUUGGUGGGGUAGUGGCUUACCAAGGCUUUGACGGGUAGCCGGGCCUGAGAGGGUGACCGGCCACAUUGGGACUGAGAUACGGCCCAGACUCCUACGGGAGGCAGCAGUGGGGAAUAUUGCACAAUGGGCGGAAGCCUGAUGCAGCAACGCCGCGUGCGGGAUGACGGCCUUCGGGUUGUAAACCGCUUUCGCCUGUGACGAAGCGUGAGUGACGGUAAUGGGUAAAGAAGCACCGGCUAACUACGUG